rnacentral:rRNA from 1 species
UACAGAGGUCCCGAGCGUUGUUCGGAUUCACUGGGCGUAAAGGGUGCGUAGGUGGCGAGGUAAGUCGGAUGCGAAAGCUCGGAGCUCAACUCCGAAAUGGCAUUGGAAACUACCUUGCUCGAGGGUUGGAGGGGGGACUGGAAUACUUGGUGUAGCAGUGAAAUGCGUAGAUAUCAAGUGGAACACCAGUGGCGAAGGCGAGUCCCUGGACAACUCCUGACACUGAGGCACGAAAGCUAGGGGAGCAAACAGG